GCCUCUUUUCUUCAAUCCGUCGCCGCCUCCCCUCCAUCCCAAUCUCCCUCUCACUCAGCUCUCUCUCCAACAGGCAAGGAAACACGGCGACAGCGCGUGAUGGCGCGACUGCCCGGCGAGCCUGGCGGAGCUCGACGCCUCGGCACAUGCUCCACCUGAGCUCCUGAGCUCGGCGGCCAUUGGUGCUCUUCUCCUCCAGAUCGACAGCCUGCAUCAGCAAAGCAUCUUCUUCUUCCUUUUUUAUUUUUCCACCGAAGCAACAAAAGCUUCAUUGAUUCCCUUUGCUCCAGACCUCCAAUCGCAUUCCAAUCCAAUAUGUAGCAGCUGCCCCUAAAUCCUCUUUGCACCUCAUGCCGCAUCUAUGUUUUUCCCCACCGUGCAGGAGCAACAGCAGCAGAGAAAGGCCGCCGCUUCUCCCCACCGUCUCCCUCAAAUCGAUAGCCUUUCUUCUUCCACUGGAAGCCCCUCUGCACCUCAUCCAGCCACCUCUCCAAUUCACCCGCACUCCCCCCGUGCUCCCUGUUUUUGGCAUAGACACUUCCAUCGACGAUGCCCUCAACGUGUUCGAUGAAAUGGGCACAAGAUCUUUCCAUCAGAAGAUUGGUUGAUUACAUCAUAUGUGCCAUCAAAGUUUUUUUUUACCAACGAUAUUCAUAAUAUUUGAAAUGAAUUCUGAUAAUUGAAAACAUUGAAGGACGAACUUACCAUGAUUCAUUUGAGUCCAAUUUUUCUAAUGUCCAGAAUGCUAAAUUAGGGGAUACUUUAUUGGUACAUAUUUUAAACAAAUAUUUAUGUGUACUCAAUUAUCGACUUUGCUUUCUCAUUGUCCAAGUGCUCUCCGUGCAAAGCAAUUGGCUGCAAUAAUGAUGAGAAAAGUUGUAGUAAUAAAGGUAGUUACUUCGAUGUCUUCCUCUCGUAGCAGCUCAUCAGUUUAAAUAUAUCUUGUAGAGUUGAGGUCUGGCAAAACCAUGUUUUUAUGUUUCAUCCACAUUUGUUAUUAGUCUAAGACAUGCUGUAUUUGACAGGAUUGUGCAAUGUCUUAAACUGCUUGUCAUUGUGAAAUUUGACAUGAUGCGUAAUCUGAAACUUACAUUUGAAUAAACCUAUUGUUUAUGUUUAUUUUUCAUAUUUUAGUCCAGCAUGUUUCACCUUUUAGUUUAUCUGUCUCCUAUCUAUGGGCUUUUGUUGUUCCCAUAUUCUUUUCAUCCGAUCUGUUUGCUUGUAUGUUAUUAGUUAGAUAUGGAGCAUAUUGCUCCCAUAUUCUUUUCAUUUGAUCUACUUGCUUGAUAUGUUUUUAGUUAGAUAUGGAGCAUACUUGUGCUCAUCCAUAAAACCUAAUGCUCUCUAGGUGUUUCAUUGAUGUGUUUUGUUACCUUAAUGAGAUAGAUGGAUGGCUUCCUGUGUUUUACCGUUGACAUUUGGCUUCUCGACGUGUUUAUUUGUUUGCUCAAAUCAGGCUUUGAAUUGUAUGCACAUCAAAUUGCUACGUGCAGACUGAUGCCAUCUCUGUUUCUUUUUAGUGCCAUACGCAUCUCUGUUUACUGUUUGUCUGGAAUAUGACAUACGAUGCCCAAGUAUUGUUGGUUGUACUUCAAUGUGCAAUGUUAUUAAUGCAAAUGCUUUCUAGGGGACUUGAAUGGUUUGACAAUUGUAAUGUACGUCCAUAAGCAAAGCUUUGCUAGCUUUGAAUUUUGUUGUUGUGUUAAUUCUCCUAAAAUAUCUACUUUUUAAUUUUCACAAAAAGCUAUCAAUUUAAUAGUGCAUAAUGUUAGAGCUAUCCUAUCUUUGAUUACCUGUUCUUUAAUUGCAUGUAGAUUUAUGGUGCUUGGAUGUGCUGUAAUAUUGAUGCUCCAAAUGCCGGAUAGACACAUGAUGGACAGGAUAGCCUGGUGCUUGAAUAUGCUAUAAUAUUGAUGCUCCAAAUGCUGGAAAAACACCUGAUGGACAGGAUGGCCUGAAGCUUGUCAUGGUGCUAAGACGUACUGUAAUAUUGAUGCUCCAAGUUUUCGGACAGACGCUUUAUGGAUACGUAUGGGAGGAGGAGAUAAGGGAGCGUGGGUCGCGCAGUAGGGGGCGAACACUGGAAAUUCUGAAUUGAUCCGUCGGCGGACUGGGAAGGCAAUCGGCGAUCUUAUUAACGAUGAGAUCAGAGAGGAUCUACUCCCAGGACCUCUACGCUGCCAUGGUAGUUGGGGGGAGCACAGGGGUAGGGCGGGUUGGAGGAGGAGACGACGAAAAAACCGUUGUGAGGUUCUCUUUAUUCUUCUAAAGCUGGGGCGGCGAGGGCAAAUAACAUGGAUUGCAGCUCGUCAUUGCCACGAGCCCGGUUUUUGGUUGGAACACUUUCUUGCCACGCAAGAAGGCCGACGGGCUAAUUGCCCUCU